CAAAAGUAAAAGAUCUUCCCGGAUGUAUAAUUCAUAAUAUGCAUAUUUACAUGCAGUCUUAUUUACCAUAUGAUAAUAUUACUUCAGUACUCACUAUUAAGCCCAAGUCUCAAUGUGGGUGUAAGAAUAAGAAUACAAGAUCCAUAAAAUACUAAACAUCACGUCCGGUGCCAGCAAUUACUCUAUGCUAUAUCAGCUCUGUACCUCGUUAAUCGUAAGGAUUUCUGAAAUUCUUGAGAAGUUCAGGG
rnacentral:misc_RNA from 1 species